UCCCGGGCCGGGGCACCGCGGACCCCGUGACCCGCAGGAAGCGGAAACUCGCACGGGUCACUCCCCGCCGCAGCCUCAGCGCCGGCCGCCUCCCGAAAGGCGCGCGCCCGGACGCUUCCGGGAGCUGCCGGCAGCGCGGUGUCGUCACCGGAAGAGGCCCCGGCUCCCGGGGCGGAAGUGGGGACGGCGCAGCUUCACACGCAGCGCCUCCGCGUGCGUCCCUGGGAGCCGCGGCCUGAGCCUCCCGGUCCUCGCUCUCGCGGGCGCGGCUGAGAUGCGCUUUCCCCUUAUUUCCGGGCCCAAACGCGCCCCGCAGCCCAGCCCGAGGGGGGAGGGAACUAGAACUGGUUGGAGAACAGCCCCGCGACCCCGUGCAGCCGCUGAGGGCGCCACUGCUGGCAGAGCGCGGGCAGCCCGGGAGCGAGCCCGAGCCCGAGCCCGAGGGGGCCCACGGAGCCCGGCCGAGCGUCUCUGCCGGGGCAGGGAGACCGCCCGGCCCGUGCCCGCCUCCGAGGGGGUGAGACGGGGCCUGCGGGGCAGGAGGCCCCUGGACACGCCCCCUUCCUGAGAAAUCUCUGACAGCGGCCGAGGAGGCGGUGAGGAGGCGGUCGGUGCGCCCUCAGCCCGUCAGCGCCGGGGGCCGGUCCCCGGGGCCGAAGCCCCGCCCCCAGCUCUGCCGCAGCCCGGCGGCGCCCGUCUCCUCUGCUGCAUCUCACCCAGCGUCCCCCAAGGCUCGUCCUGGGCCCUUUUCUCCCACAAUCCCACCCUAACUUGGUGACCUCGUGGGCUUCCUUGGGCUCAGUUUUGUCCGCAGACCUCGGGGACUAUCGGAGAUCUGAAGCCGGAUGUAUGAAACUGACCUCCUAGAGUGAACCUGUCAUUCUCCCGGAACCUCCCCCCCCCCCGCCCCCCACAGAGACAAACACCCACGCGAACACCCCCCACGCCCCGGCCCCCUCGGGCUCACAGCCCGGGAGUCUCCCUGGGCUCCUCACUGUCAGUUCCAGACCGGAGCCGCGGUCACCGGUGUGAGGCUGCUCCCUUUCAUCCGUAACAUUAAUUCCUCUGAAAUUGCGUCCCCUUUUGAUCUGCAAGAGAGAUGGGGGUUUCCGGGGGAUGCAGACCCUUUUCAGGAAAUUACAGAUUCCAGAAGUCUUCAGAGCAAUUUCCAUUCAAUUGGAGAUCCAAGCCUGGGGACUUGGGCGUUCUUUUCUUUUUCUUUCUUUUUUUUAUUCCAGCUUUUUAUUUACAAGUUAUAUGCAUGGGUAAUUUUUCAGCAUUGACCCUUGUAAAACCUUCUGUUCCAACCUUUCCCCUCCUUCCCCCCUCCCCCCUCCCUCGGAUGGCAGGUAACAAUACCUGUUAAAUAUGUUAACGUAUAUGUUAAAUACAAUAUAUACAUGUCCAUACAGCUAUUUUGCUGCACAAGAAAAAUCAGACUUAGAAAUAAGGUAAAAAUAACCUGAGAAGGAAAACAAAAAUGCAAAUGGACAAAAACAGAGGGAUUGGAAAUGCUAUGUAGUAAUUCACACUCAUUUCCCAGAGUUCUUUCACUGGGUGUAGCUGGUUCUCUUCAUUAUUGAACAAAUGGAACUGAUUACGAGCCACAUUUUGGCUUUCUUUUCAACCUGAAAUUCCUGCCUCAAGAUUCCCUAUUAAAGGGCAAUUUUAAACUCACUUCUUUGCAGAAUGUCCAAAACCUGCCAGGACUUCUGCCCGAUGUAGAGAGACCGUCUUCUCAGCAAAAAACCUUUCGUUAGUUCUCUGCCAGGACUUUGCCACUGAAGAAGUCAGUCUUUCCGGCAAAGCUGGCUUCUCAUCCAACAAUAAACUUUGCUUUUUGCCACCUUGUGAUUUCAGGUUUGUGAAUUCUUUCAUGAAGGACCUGCACCGACCAGAAGGGGAUUCCCUCAACUCUCUGACUGCUACUAGAACCCCAUCAAAGAUCUGUGGAUUUCACCUUCCUAACAACUCUCCCAUAAGCCCCUUCUCUCCUCUAAACAUCCCUCUAAAACAGGUUACCUUUAACACCUUAACCCUGGACUACUGAAUAGUUAGGGGGGUGGGAUGGGGAGAGAAAUCUGGGGAAAAGGUGAUCUCCAUACAGCCAACAACGAUUUUCAGAGAAUACUGCUGAUGCAAUGGUCUGUGACCUGUUUUCCCAGAUUUCAGCAGAGGGUGGGGCCCUAGUAACCAAAUA
rnacentral:lncRNA from 1 species